rnacentral:rRNA from 1 species
GGGUAGGUGGUGUCGGGCGGAGCGGAGAGUACCCGAACAGGGGCUGGAGCGGCAGGGUCGAGUUAGAGCGGCGUUUCGAGAGGGAGGUGGCUCGGCCCACAGCUUGGACAAGCGUGGUGGUCCCGACGAAUCUAGGCAAAGGGGCGUAGGGCACGAAGCUCAGGUGGAUUGCCCACACGAGUGGCAGAUGGAACGACGGGUCUGAGCUGGGUGAGGUUACGGUGGCUAACAACUACGCCGGCGGCCAGGUGGAGCGGCUACGCGGUAAGACAACUGACCACAGGCACGAGCGGUCCUGGCGGCGCCACAAACACUAAGUGGUCCGACGGGCUUCUCACAAACAGUCGGGUUCUUGAUCGUCGCGGUUUCAAAUAGGUCCCAUUACUUCGUUCCGUGCUCCAGAACCGCUGGAACGAACCGGUGGUCCGAGGUAGAGGGCGCUGUACGAUGGACGACUGCUGGUGGAUACCAAGGAAAGACAACACGAUUGUUGGUGAGGAAACUAGUGUUACUGUACAAUGUAGAGACUAGAGGGGUCUCACGAGAGUGGCCUUACGAGGGAACGGCUGCACCAGUUACCGCCGUGAGCCCCGCGUCGUACCACUGAUACUAGGUCGCCGAAGCAGAGACACCAGAGUUUCACUGGCCGAGGAACGGAAUCACACUUACAACACUAAGAACAUUGUAUACGUUACAAAGUCCCUAUACAUAUAAUUCAUAAGAUCACUGGGACAUAUACAAGAAGGUAACAAAAGUCAUGGUAUGUACACGAAACCAUAGUAUACACAGUACGAAGGUUGAAUACAUGUUAUUCGAAGCUUUACAGAUGUAUGUCCGAGGAAAGAAAUGUGUCG